rnacentral:tRNA from 1 species
GUUUAUUUAGUUUAAAAAAAAUUUUGGUUUGUGAUACUAAAGAUUCUUAUGGAAUAAGCU